UAUCAGGCUCUUUUCAGAGCCAUUUUCAUUCCAUUUUACCAGCACU
rfam:Cricetulus griseus cell line CHO-K1, whole genome shotgun sequence.